AAGUCGAGAAGACGACGGCGAAGCGGCACAGCGAGAAGAACGGCAGGUUGACAACAGUGGACGAAACGGAAGAACAAUCAUCAGAACGUGUCAUCAAACGCCGAGGAAGGAGAUUUCUACCUCGCUCCACCAAUCCUCUUCCUCCCUCCACAAAUUGUUAUCACAGAUUAUGUAAUUGAUUUAUUUUGAUUCAUGGAGUUGAAAUUUGGGUUGAACCCUGUUGAGAUGUUAUUCUAAUUUUUCAUUGAUGAUUUACAUGAUUGGAUUCUAAUUACAGGAUUUGAUUGAGAGAGACUACCCAGUACAGUGUUUGAAACGAAGUCGUUUUCCUUGCUUUCAAGUGGGUCUGUAUGGUGUUUGGGUAAUGUGAAAUAAUAUGGUUCAUUGGAUUAUUUUAAUGAUCUGGAUUGUUUCAACUUGGUGAAACUGUGUGAUAUAUCCACAGCAGCAAAUCC
rnacentral:lncRNA from 1 species